AUUUUGCAUUUUACAUUUUGACUAUGAUAUAACAAUAAUAAUAAUAGUAAUAUUUAUUGGACACCAAUUACAUGAUAUAUACAGACAUACAAUGAAUAAUAAGACUGGUUCUCUUUUAAAAAGCAAGCUUGUGCUGAAAAGAGAGAGUUUGUGAUAGAAGUUGUCGUGAUAGUAGAAAAACACCGAUAGUAUAUAUUAAAUUACAUGCUGUAUUGGA